UACGAAGGGGGCUAGCGUUGCUCGGAAUUACUGGGCGUAGAGCGCGCGCAGGCGGUCUUCCAAGUCAGUGGUGAAAGCCCGGAGCUCAACUCCGGAACUGCCAUUGAAACUGUUAGACUUGAGGAUGAGAGAGGUGAGUGGAAUUCCCAGUGUAGAGGUGAAAUUCGUAGAUAUUGGGAAGAACACCGGUGGCGAAGGCGGCUCACUGGCUCAUUACUGACGCUCAGGCGCGAUAGCGUGGGGAUCAAACAGG
rnacentral:rRNA from 1 species